CAGUCGCCGCGGGAAUACGAAGGGGGCUAGCGUUGUUCGGAUUUACUGGGCGUAAAGCGCACGUAGGCGGAAUUUUAAGUCAGGGGUGAAAUCCCGGGGCUCAACCCCGGAACUGCCUUUGAUACUGGAAGUCUUGAGUAUGGUAGAGGUGAGUGGAAUUCCGAGUGUAGAGGUGAAAUUCGUAUAUAUUCGGAGGAACACCAGUGGCGAAGGCGGCUCACUGGACCAUUACUGACGCUGAGGUGCGAAAGCGUGGGGAGCAAACAGGAUUAGAUACCCGUGUAGUCCCGUCUCUUAUACA
rnacentral:rRNA from 1 species